UUAAUCCAAAACCAGGUUAGAAUGUUUCCUGGUUAGAAUGUUUACUGGAGACAAUGCUAUACUUCCUCUCAGCACAUACUCAUAAUUGUUUUAUUAUCUCAGUUGACAUGUUCUUAAACUAACUGUAAUACUUGCAUUUCACACUAAUUCAGAAGGCACUUUAUGUUGCAAAAGUUGAAGAACAUGAAAAACUACAACAAUUACCUGGAGGAAGGUCGGAGUGAAGAUGAGGCCGUUCAGUUUUAUUUUCAGAGGUUAACAAUGACAACGAUGCUUAGGAGGGUAGUUAAGAGGAUGGAAGCUAAUGACUAAGAAGUUGAAGUUUGUAGCAUGAGUAAAUCUCUCUGCUUUAAAAAAAAAAAGGUUUUCUCAAAUGUUUAUGGAGCUGAUGUCUUUCUUUUUCUUUUUUCCUGCUUUUGUACUUCCACAAUACAUAUUUUAAAACUAUCUCAAAAGACUCAGGGAUUUCAGAAUAUUACAGACAAGUUCAUGGAGCUUAGUACUAAGUUACUAACAGCAAGAUCUGCCAGCUGAGCUUUGUUGUGUUACUGGAGGAUCAAGAAGUCAACAAGAUGAUGCUCUUUAUUGGUGUAAUGUAGAAUACAUUCUUCCUGGCGAAGUCAAGUUGUUGUGAAAGACAUUCUCAAGUUCGUGGAAAAUAUUUGAUUGAGCAUGUUGAAAACCCCAAGAUGCUGUUGAGAAGACAACUAUUUAGUAUGUAUCAGAUAUUCAGAUGGAGAAGAAGUCAAGGAUGGAACUUUCAGACAUGAAACAAUAUUGAUUACUAUGUACCCACACAAUACCAAUCUUUUUUUUUUGUGUACCAAUUAUAUGUAUGUAUGUAUGUUGGGUAGUACCUAAAAA